rnacentral:lncRNA from 1 species
AUGAUUUUAAUGGAGAAAUGUAUUUUUUCAUCAAAAUGACAGAUAAAAUUUUUUUUAACAAAGCUUAUUUUGAUCUGUUUCACUUUUAAUUUGAUUGGAUAUUCUCCAUAAUAGAAGAUUGAAAUCAGGAUUAUCUGAAAGUUGUCGUCUCCAUCUAGUAGUUCAUUGGUUGGCAUACAGAACAGAGAACUGGGGAGUUAGUUAGCACUCAAGCAAAAUUAGGAAAGAGAUAAAAUUAUGCCUCAGGUUUUCCACCUCUUCUUUUCUAAGCCUUUUUCUAGAUCUUCUUUCCUAUUAUCCACCCCACAACAUGCACAUAGAGUCACUCAAUGUUCUUAUCCUAUCUUAGUCUUCUUCAUUGAGGAAAUCUCAUCAAUUCUUUCAGGGCAGGUGCUUAGGAAUUUAAUGUGCUGUAAUGAUCAGGAGAAUUAGAAGUUAACAAAAGAGCCCAAGAGGAGAUACAAUGAAGACAAUGCAUAGUUUGGUAACUGUGGGGUUUUAAGAAAUAACUUGGGAAGAACUUUAAUCUCAAGAUACAAAUGACAAGUCUUUCUCUGAGAUGGUGUCCAUAAUCUCAUGAAGAAAUAAUAGUGUUGGGUUCAUAUUUUAUUUUUGAACUGGAGCUCGUGAUUAGAAAGACUGGCACAGCUUUGGUUUUCUGCGUGUUUUAGCUGGAGUGCUCCCAGUAAUUAUUCACUUUUUCUAAGAGAAUGUUAUACCUAGUGGUUCUGCUCCACUUCUUUCUGUGUAGCUGUGGGGGAUCUGAAUUUGCCACCCUAAAAUGUGUCUCUUUGGCUUGAUUAUUUUUUAAAAACAAAAGACUCAGAAAAAAACUUUGACCUUCCCCCUGACUGCCUAAAAGAAUUUAAGUUAUAAGGCCUGUUUCAGGAAGGAGUUAUCACCAUAGAUAAAUAUAAGGGUAGACAGGGAGGAACCUAGUAAGGUCCAUUUAAUCAAAGUCCUCCCCAUGUCCCUUUGUCUUUGCAAAGUCUGGCAAACAUUUGUUUAACAAACAUUUGCUUAAGAAAUAUUUGCUUUUCCAUCUCCAUGUGAAUUGCCUCCCUCUCUUUUGCAGGUGCAAACCACUACCCCCAACAUUCUCUUUUGUCUUUAGCUGAUGAUGGUAUUGAAGGUGGUGGCAUUGGCCAUUUCGUGAGUUACUCAGUUUUCCUGGGUUCAUCCCAUGUAUACAUGCUGUUAAAUUUGUUGAAUUUUCUCUUGUUAUUCUAUCUCAUGUCAAUUUAAUUCUUAGAUUGGCCAGAAUAACCUAGAGGGUAGAAGAAUAUGCCUUCCUCCCCAGUACAAUCGUUCCUAGUGCUAUUCAUCUCAUUAUUUUCCAAAUAUACAGGAGCAUAUUUUCCACGUAUGCAGACACAUACUCACAUAGAAUCUAUCUUAACUUACCUCCAUAUAAGAAAUUUUCCAAAAUAACUGACCCUCUCAAUUCCUUCUGUAAAGCAAACUGACUCCCAUGAAACAUUUAAUUCCCUGGCUAAUCCCUAGAAUGACCAAAAAAUUAUUUUACCAUCAAUUUAAUUGUUUGUUCCCAAACCUUUUAUGCCAUUUGAACUUGUUAUUAUAAUUAUGUAAUUUAAUUAAAUAGCACGCGAACUAUGGAAAAUAACUAAAAUAAAAUAGUAUGCAAAAAUGAAAGUAAAAAGAAUUUUGCUGUGCCUAUAAACAAAUUGAAUGCUUGCACAGACCAAUAACUGUUAGUCACAAAAAAUUGAGUUGGUACAUAUAAGAGCAAAAAUGAUUCACAAAAAUUGAAACAAUUUUGGGGCUGGCCCCGUGGCCGAGUGGUUAAGUCUGUGUGCUCCGCUGCAGGCAGCCCAGUGUUUCGUUGGUUCGAAUCCUGGGCACGGACAUGGCACUGCUCAUCGGGCCGCGCUGAGGCAGCGUCCCACAUGCUACAACUAGAAGGACCCACAACGAAGAAUAUACAACUAUGUACUGGGGGGCUUUGGGGAGAAAAAGGAAAAAAUAAAAUCUUUUAAAAAAUUAAAACAAUUUUGGACUCCAAUUGCUUUUCAAAUUUCUCUAGGGUUUUUUUUUUUUUUCUCAUUUAAAACUGUGAAACUGAAAAUUUUGGACAAUACAUCAUGGAUGUGGAUUAUGCAAGAAUUAGAACUCUAAUCCUGGACUGAUAGUCAAAGAAAAGCCAUUGGUUCUACAUCUAAGAAUUGCCAUAUGAAUUUAUAUUCAUAUGUUAAAAGUUUUAAAUUGUUUAAGGAGUAUUUGCAACAUUUUUAUGAGCAGAAUUUAAUCUUUUAUUGUUAUUAUUUAAAUGACCGGCUACUGACCCAGUCACCUCUGAGAAGCCGGCUUCUAUGAAAUGUCUGUGGAGGAGGUCCUUUGGCCGGCAAACUAACAUCACAUGAAGUCAGAGCACAUGCUAUGAAGUUGGGAAUGAAGAAAAGGCCACCGAUUUAAGAAAAGAGUCCACCCUUGCAGGCUAAAUGAUUCUUGCAAUCUCAUCUAUACAGUAUAAAUAUUUUUAGAGAAAACUCAAUACGUAAAUAUCUCUAAGGAAGAGAAUACAGAAAGCAGUAAGUGAUUGAGAUCAGAUUUUAUAAGUGAGAAAGAGAGAAAACAGACUAGUGUCUGUUGUUUCUAUAGAAAUGGUGUUUCAAUGGGGGUGUUAGAAAUAAAAUUUCAGAAUGAAGUUUGGUUGUCUAUGCUGUGGUUGAGCUGAAUCCAAAUCUUAAUAGAUGAAGUCAAGGAGAGCCAGCAUUUAUGUUGCAUUUAGUCGAGAGUCAGACCAAGAAAUGCAUGCUUGGAAGAUGAAGCAAUAAGCAGUAGAAGAAACAGGCUCCCACCAGGGACAAAUGUCUCCUUCUUCCCUUGACAAUGGUUUGAUAAUUCUCUCUUUUCUCUGUCAACUAAAAUAUAAACUCCAUGGGUAGGAAUCACGUUCCUUGUGGCUAGACGAAAGCCUACGUGUUGAUGAUGCUCAAAAGUUGUUUAAUCGUGACCUGAAUUCUUUCUCUACCUUAUUGACUUGUAUUCUGUUUGUCUCUCUUCUCCCUAACUCUUAGUUCUGACAAUGGUUCUUAGACUCCUCCAUGGUCAAUGAAGACAGUCAGAACUAAAGAGUCUUGCCCCUUCCCAAGACCAUGAUUUUUUUGGUCAUUUCACAACUAUCACUCUGCAUGGUGUUAAAAAUUAUUUUUUGGAUCAUUGAAUGGAAAACAUGGGAAGAGUAGAUAAGAAUAUACCACCAUUGUCAUAGGCCAGGUUUCCCAGAAGCAGAUGCUUAGACAAGGGGUUGUAUACAAGUGAUUUAUUAGGAGAACACUCCCAGGAGAAACAGGGAAGGGCGUGGGAGACAUCAAGUAGGGAGAAGGGAGAAACUAAGCAAGAACACAGUUUCAGGUGUCAUCCUAACCUCAGCCUGAUCCCAUGGGGAACUCUGGAGAUUAAGGACUGCAGAGUAUUGUCCCCCGGCAGGAAAAGGAUCAGACAUUUGUACCCUGUAUUCAGUCAGUCAUUGGCUACAGACCUUCACAAGGGCUAUGUAAACUCUAUGGUGCUUCCAGGAAGGUGGUUCCCAGGGGUCCAAGAGUAAGGCUCUGAAGAAUGUUGUGGGUAUGAACUAUUACCGGAUAACAUGAAGAGGCUGCAGUGUGGACACACAAAACCAGUAAGAGGGAUUCAGGUCAGCUGGACAGAGCAUUCAGGUAUCUCCUAAUGCCAAGAGUUAUACUGAACAAAGGACUCAUUUGUCACCUUCUGGUUUGGUUAGUAAGGUGGAUACAUAAAUACACAAUGUUCUUGGGGGUUCUACCUGAUGCUGUCAUUUCCUGUGUGGAGUUCUGCUGGUAACUCACACUUACCGUAUAUUUUCAGGUUUGAGUUCUUCCUCCUUAGGUCUAUUUUAUUGUAGGUCACUACCAUUCUACGGGAAAAUAUCCAGUUAAUUACCCUACACAGAUUGGGCUAGGGACAUUUUUUAAUGUUCCCCAAAAUAAGUUCCAUGUGGUAAGAUAUGAAAAUUAAGAUGACCCAUUGUCAACUGUAAUGUGCCCUGAAGUUUGGUUUCCUAACAAUUGCUGUAAUCCAUUGCCCCAUUUCACUCUGAGCACAUAGAUGAGAAAAAUUAUUAUUUUUAUGUUAGUGAAAUGACAAACAUUCUCUAGAAUCUAAUAUGUAGUUUAAGAUAGAUUUCUAAAAAUGAUAUGGUAAGGAUGCCAAUCUUAGCAUGAGCAUAUUAACAUCUGUUCUACUUUUCUUUAAUCCUUUUGACAUUCUUAUUACUGUUUAUAAAAAGUAGCUUUUUUGAAGAAUGUAACUUUAGUUUUAUUUUUCACUUAAAUGUAAACAACAAUGGUCUGUAAUUAUAGCCUUUUUAUAUUUAAUAAUAUGCAUAUAUUUAAAUAUAAUAUAUUUGUAAAUAUAAUCAUAUACGCCUAGAGGUCAGUGUUACAGCAAACAAUCAAAACACAAACAUGCUUGACCAAGAAAUAAUUGUUUUAAAUGUUCUGCUCUACAAUGAGCAAAAACAUGUCACAAACCCAUGGACCUUAACUAUUCUAUUGUCUUUGUAAGAUUAUAAAAUCAAUUAUUUCUGUCCCACAACUAGUAGGACCUGCAACUAAGAUAUACAACUAUGCGUCGGGGGGUUUGGGAAAUAAAGCAGGGGAAAAAAAAAAAGAUUGGCAACAGUUGUUAGCCCAGGUGCCAAUCUUUGGAAAAAAAAAAUUAUUUCUUUAAUACUCCAUAGGAGGAAAAAACGGUGUUAGAAAAGCAACAGCAACAUUAACAACUGAGCGCGCCUCAUGGACAUCUGGUCUUGUACAUUCAUAUAAAAUAGCAUCACAAUAAAUGCUCAAAGGGAAUUAAUGAAGUAUGAUAUAUUCACUGCAUUGUUUAUUAAAAUAUAAUUUUGAUAUAUUUCUCUCAAAUAGUAGUUAAAUAUUUUCAAAGUUUAUUCUGAUAAAUAUAAGUCAUUUGGAAAUUUCACUCAUGUGGAGUAUUUCAUUCCUAAAAAUAGUACACAAAUUAAACAUUGUCAUCUGCCUGUCUUGAAGUAGCGUAAGAUUACUUGGGUGUUAAGGUGCACGUACAUCUCAAAUUGUUAGAAUUUUCUAUACAUAAGAGAAUUUCUUAUCAAGAAGUUGAAGAUAUAGCGUGUCUUAAGAAAGUUUUCAAUUUUGCUAAGCUCCAAAUUAUUUAAACUCAAAAAGAAUGUGAAGGGACCAAAAUAGCCGUGGGGAGUAUACCCAUAGCAGGUGAAAGUAUCCACUUUGAUGGACAUAUAAUAUGCCUCAGUGCGUUUCAAAACAUGGACUGUGUGGCUAUAGAACAACCGAGGCUUAUGUCAGCUCAGAAGCUCUCCUGAACAUGUUUAUCGAAGUGGUUAAUUAGAAUAAAAGCAUAAAGAGUACCUUUACCAGUCCCAUAUAUUGCAAAGUGCUUGCCACUAACAUUGGUUCACAGAAGAAAUGCACACCUUAGGGAGGCAGGAAAGUAAAUUAUAACACUGCUGCAGAUUCCCCAGGGAGGAAAUUCCUCUCUCUGUCACUCCUAGUUAGCCUUCCAAUCUGUUGCAAAUUGAUAGUGGUAUAGUUUCUGGGUUAAGGUGAUUCCACUAGACUAUGAAUUUCAGAAGAGCAGAGACCUUCACUUUGUGCUCACUGCUCUGUCUCCAACAUUUAGAUGAGUGGCUGGAAGAUACUCACCUUAUGAUACUACUGGUUGAAUGAACAAAUUAUUUAGUAUUGCUAUGAGCAUAUCAUUUUCCAUGAAAUAAGAAAAUGGCAAUGAAAUCAACAAUUAGACAAUGGACCCAGGUAUAAGUAGGAAUGAUGUUCCAUGGAGCUGAAAAUGGAGAAGAAAGCUAGGAGUAGAGGAUGAUCAUGCUGCAGCAUGAUGAAGAUUUAACAACCAACUGCAUAAAAAACCAGUCUUGAGACUUGGACUUUGAGGGUGCUUAGUUAUUGGUCCUUUAGGGGUUCACUUCUCUAAUGUAUAAUAAAUUAUAUAUUGAAAAUGUAAAUUUGCCUUCCAACUUCCAUUUAUUGUGAUAGUACACUUAAUCCCUGAAAAGAUCCACAGAACUCAAAAUAAGCAACUGCAGUGGGAACACUGGAACUGUGAUAGGUGGGCAAUAACAUUAGAAGACUAGAUAGCUUAUUUCUCAUGUUUCUACAGAUAAUUUAGGAUGUAUUCCUAAUAGGAAUAAGACAGAGCAACAUCACAGCAACUCUCUGGCUCCCUCUAGAGGAACAGCUCUCAACCUCCUCUUCAUAAUCCAUGUGACAGAUGACAUUCAUCUGCAGGGCACAGUCUCAAAGCCAUAAUGGAGUAUCUGGUACUGGACUCACCCUCCUACUGUAAAUUACUAUAAAAUUGAACAAAAUACAUAAGACAACUGUUUUUACAUAUUGAUCAACCAGAGAACUCGACUGUGAUCCUUGAAAGAAAACAACCACAUGAGACUCGCCCCACGUUCACUCAUACUUUCUGCCACAAUAAAGGAGAUAGAAGCCAAGAAGAGUAGUUAAGAAACUAACUUGAAGGUGCAGACAUGGGAGAUAAUGGUUGCUGAAGCAUCUGGAAUUUGUAAAGCAUGUUACCAGGGAAGAGGAAGCUAGAAGUGGGAGUUCCACUUUUCUUCAUGGCAAAAAUUCAGUGUCCUCUCCUACCCACUGUAGACCAUUCCUGUAGCCAAGACACCUCCCUUUUCUGAACUCAGCAGAUCAAAUAAUGAGUGCUGCCUCGGCCAUUGGCCACCUGAUUGGCUGUGGGACAAAUGGAUCCAAUUAAUAUCUGUAGAGAUUCACAAAGGCCUGCUAUUAAUAAAUUGUAGUGUUUCCAGGUAAGUGUUGUUCAACAUGUCCUGUGUAUCCCCCACUGUUUUCAUAAAAAUGUGUGCUAAAUGUCUUUUAAAAUUCUGUGGCAUAGUGACUCAACAGAUUAAAAGGAAUCAUAUUCUCUGGAAAACACUUCUUGAUAUUCCAGAAAUAGAUGCACUCUUUAGCAUCUAAAAAGUUUCUGAUGAUCUCAUAGAAUUAAUCAUCAAUUCCAGGACAAUGAUUUGAAAGAUUAGAGGGUAUGGAUGGAUAGAGGUGAAUUAUCAAGGGUAUGGCUAAGAUAGAGGUGAGUUACCAAGUUGACACUGGAGUUGAAUCCCACUGAUGUGUGUUCAGGCUAAGGGUUGGCAACAGAAGGCAGAGAAGCAGAGGCAGGAGGGAGGAGAUGAAGAAUGUGGAAGCUAAGGGAGAGAAGGAUGAGGAUAUGAGAGGACAGGAGAAAGAAGUGAGAACAAAAAAAAGAAGGAAGGCAAGAUCACUGAAAAGGAAGAAAAACAGAGAGAAAAACAGUAAAAGAAGCUACCAUCUGAGUAACUGCUUUUUCCUGGUGUUAUCCAGGAAAAUCUUUUUCCAUAAUUAUGAUUAGUUUCUCCAAAAUCUAUUUUCCUCACAAAGGAUCAUCCAUCUUUUCCUCAAAAUGAGAAAACAUGAUAUGAAUGUACAUUCCAAAGUUGUUUUCUUUUACUAAACUUGAUUUUUCCUUGUGCUUUAGCAGCUAUAAUGUAAUGAAUCACUUCCCUGUACAUCAAAAAGCAGUUUCUGUCACCACAAACACAGACAUGGGAUUGAUUAUGCUCCUUUGAGUGGCCAUCUACAUGGCUUCUGCAUGCUCUUACCUCAGGCAGCAGUCCCCCGUACUUACUAUUGAUGAGGACGUAAAGAGAGGAAUGUAGCUGGUGUGCGAUGGGAUUAUAGUGUGGACACCUGUAAUGAGUUUCAUUUUAUUUCUGCUUUUCCAGCAUUUUAUGACUUCCAAUGGGACUGUGAGUACUUUCCUCUGAUCAUAUAAAUAUUUGGUGGGGGUUGGGAAGGAAUCUUGGGCUUCCUGGAAGGCACUAUACACUUCUGUAUAUAAUGUAAUUUAUCCAAUAAAAAGUAUUUUGUUACUAAAGAGUAAUGUGGACCAUGGGAAAAAUUUCUAUUCCCAAUGUCGUGUGACAAAGUCAUAUUGUUGAGAUAUUAACUCAAGCAGGUUUUCUCCCUCUCCCACAGUCAGCUAAAAGGAGAAAGGAAAAAAAGAAUAUGGCUUAACCCUCCCUGCUUUUGUUUCCCAAAGAAUAUGCCACUUAAGGGAAUUAUGCCCAGGGUCUCUGAGUUGGGCUUUAAAGUUGAAGGAGAACUUGGGGAAUGGGAGCAUGCAGAAGGAGAGAUGAAGAGAUUUCAUCUGAUGAAUAAGAAAUGUCAAAAGGAAUGUGGAAAAAGAACAGAGAUAAGUGGGUGGUUUGGCUACUCCCUUGAGAAAGGGUCUGUGCAUGAGGGCUUUGAGGACAAGGGUGAGGGAUAGCUCAAUAAACACACGAUAUGAGAGGUAUUGUUGCUGCCAAUGGAAGCUGAGUCUCUGUGCACAGUAGUCUCCGUUUUCAUGCAGGUACACCAGCUCUCCUUCCCAUUGCAGUCUGGAAUGGUGCCAUUUUUGUUAGCCUCCAGGAAGAUAUCCAACACAAGUGGUGACCAUCACUUGUAACAAUCGUACCCAAGUCUCCUAGGGCUCCAUCUGACUUCUUGUAGAUUAUUUCCCCCAACACCUACAUACACAUCCAUGUGAACUCUUAGACACAUACAUAAUGUCCCAUAAGAUCAAUGAGCACAAGAAAAGCAGAGAUAGGGCUGAGGAUUUUUAAUUGGUUCUUGGAGAAGAAAGUCCCUUACAUGUGAAUUUGGGGAUAGAUGAUGAGUAGAACCAGUUCCAAACUCUCCUACUCCAAUCAGGAACAGUGGUUAGACCCUUAACCAGACACCAAAACCUUUGGACUAAGUAUUUCUACUCCAACGGAUGUAUUUUAACACUUGGGUAACUCUAUUGAGCUCAGGUAAAUGGAAGAUAGAAGGAACAUGGAGAGCCUAGAAAUUAAUUUAAUAUCCAUUAUACAUAUAUAAUGACUUUUGCAUACUUAUUCAUGUACUUAACUGCUGGGGACACACACACAGAUGCACAUUCACAUGCAGUCCCCACUGGCCCAGGCAGUCAUUCCUUGAAUUCUGUGUAAGUCCUAGUCACACUGACAAUCCAGCCCUGUAUUCAAUACCAUAGGGUCAAACACAUGCCUGGAAGAAAGGAGACAUGGAUCCUCAUGACAAAUAAUUAAUUAAUUCAAUUAGUGUUUAUUGACUCUGCAAUAUACAAAACCCUGGACCGGCUAGGGGGCUGACACAUUGAUUAAUUAGAUGUAAUCCUUGUUUUUAAGAAACUUAGAAUCCAGUAAGAGUGUAAAGCACAGCACUGCACCUGACGUAGCGGCUGCUGUACAUACAUGAAUGAGUAAAUGAGACCUAUACACGUAUACAAAAAUGUAACAGGAUGAAUUAUGAAAACAUACACAAACAUUGUGACAAGGAAAAUUAUUUUAAAAAUAUCUUUCUCUAACCAUAAAUGAGAAAAAGAGGGCACCAUAUAUGCUAUCCUUAAUCCCCAUCACCUGGGGAGAAAUAAACAGCUUUUUAAAUUCAAGACUGUCUAGGGAAGAAUUAGGAUGAGGUAGAGCCAUUAGCUUUGAGAAAGAGGGGUUAAAAGGCAGGAGGAGGGGUGUGCAUGUUCAAGCUUCCCUGAGUCUGCAAAAAAGAGAGGUGUAUUUGAAUAUUUCCUACAACUGAAGAAUACCCUAGGGUGACUUCUUUUACAUGAGGCUGUCAGGGAGCACAAGGGUGUUAAGACCAGUGGCCAAGGUCUCUGCAAAUAAGUAUGUGGUCAGAGGACUGGAACUUCCUAAAGGACAUUGCGAGGUCUGCCCCAAGCAGCACAGAUGGUGGAUGAUGGAGGCUCCAUGGUAACGGCAGCACAAGUAGCAGAGAGAGCAGUGAUGGGGAUGCCUCCACCGUGAAUGAAAGACCUGGCUACUUCCUGACUUUCUGGUGCUGUAAAAUGUCUCAAAUUCUCAAUGACAUAGAGGGUUUCCUGAGUUAAGGAGCACCUUGCCAAUCCAGGUAUGCUAUGGGAGAGAUUCCUCCUUUGGUCUCUAAGUAGACUGCAUGAAGGCCCCUGCUAUCCCAUUGAAGUGGGAAGGGAUACUCCAAACUCUACUGAAUUUUAGCUUUACACCAAGAUAUUUGGGGGCUCAGAGGUGACUUAUAUGAUGUAGAGAAAUUUUAAAAUGUGAGAGAUAUGACUAUUAAUAUUGAGUUUAUAACUAAGUUGUACUACAAACUAAAAGAUUAGGCAUGUGUGAUAAAAGCCAUUAAGUAUAAUUCAAAAUGUUAUGCUAAUUUAGACUUGAUAAUAAAAACACAAAGUAAAAGAGUCUUUAUAUCAUCCACAGAUUAAAUAUCUGAUGAAGGUUAAACGAAGUCAAUGAUAUAAGGUAACUCCUACAAAAACUAACAAUUAUUAUUCACUAUUCUACCUGCAGCCAAUUCAAGUCUCUUCUCUGUAAUGAAUAAAACUAACAACAAGAACAAAAAAAACAGAAUCUCACAAUAAUGAGUCCCCAAGCUACAAUUUAGCACCAAUUUAGCAAUCCCAUUAGCGAGCACAUCCAGCUCAUUAAAAACGGGAAGCUAACCUGUCUAUAAAUUGCUUCACCAUAAUCAAAUAUUGGCAAAAUAACUAGAUAGGAAAUACAGUGCCUGUCUGAAAUAUUAUCAAUUAAUCAUAAA